ensembl:lncRNA
AUAAGAAGGGAAGAUGUGAAACCUUCUGUACCAAAGGUGGUGAUUACCACUGAUAAACCUAAAGCUCCAGUCUUAAUAUCAAAAAGUAAAGAAGGAAUUGCAACCAAACAGGAACGUGUGAGCAUAAGCCAUGAAAAGAUUAAAAAGGAAGCUAAGAAAACUACUGUAGUUCCGAAAAUAAUUGCACCAGUCACAGUGCCCAGAACUAGAGAAGAAAUUACAGCCAAGCAAGAACAAAUGCAUCUAGCUUAUGAUCAGGUGAAUAUAGCUGUUGCAGACGUGAACUGCGCUGUUACAACUUACCUUCUCUGCAAACCUCACCUUUUAAGAGCUACUUAAGUACAAUAGGAUGCAUUUAAAUUAUUUCCUGAUACUAUGCCUGUUAAGUGGAAUGAUAUUCUAAUGAUAGAUUCGGUGUGAAUUAUUAAGUUUCUAGUGAUGCCAAGAUUUUUGUCUUACCCUGACAGAAAGUGCCACUUUUCAGACUAAGAUCAGAUGACUCUGUGAAAGUUUCCUCUCUAACAAUGGCUUUCUAGUAGUGUUUACUUGAUCAAAUUGUUUCAAAUUCAGUGAAAUUUCUGAAUCUGCAGUGCUCUUUUCUACAAGCUCAGUCCUUGCAACUUUACAGUUAUCAGACAAAACAGCAUCUCUAAAUUAAGCAUUGGAUUGUACUGUUCUUCAUACCACACAAACUUUACCAUCAGUACACUUCUAUCCAGUUUGUUAUGUCUGGCAACUAAAUACGUGUUGAUUCUGCCUUGUUCUGGUAGGAUUUACCACAGUAGAAAAAUUUUUCUAGCAUUGUAUAGCAUAGGAUCUCUCAUCUGUGGGUGAGAAUUGGCAAAACCCUUUGCUUAAAAUUGACAUGCUUUGCUGGAAGCAGUAAAAUAUGCAUUUAUACAAUGCUAUUAUAAAAUAUAAUUUAAAGAUUGUAACAUUCAAAUCUGACUCAAAGGAGUCAGAGUGCAAGGAGAUUAAAAUUAAUUGUUAGAAGGUAUAAAUUGAGGGCCAAAUUCAAGCUAGUAUAAAGAAUGAUUUUGAAAUUUGCAGCAAACAGAACUGAGGUCCCUGUAACCUAAACACUACUUUAUUAAUUAUGCAACAUCUUUGAAAGCAAUCACAUUUUUGCCUUGCUUGUAUUACUUUAUUUUAAGACUGUAAUUGUUUUAAAAUCAGCAUGAAAUUAUCAAUUAGGUUUUUUCUUAUCUAUGAGGUGUACAUUCCAUAUGCUGUGUAGUGCUACGGAGUACACCCAGGUAUGACAGUAAACAGACAGAUCCCAUUAUCUAUUGUUGACUGACUCAGCAGAAGUUUGGGUUUUGAUAUCAUUGAUUAAUUGAAGCAGACAUUAUUUAUCAACUGUUAGGAAAAGAGAGAAAAAAAAAAAGAGUUCCUGAUACAAACAUAUUAUCUCCAGUUUCUCUGAAAACUAAGUUUUCUUUCUUUAGUAAAAUCAUUUAAAAUAGAUUAGCAUUGAAGUUUACAGAUAUGCGCAUGGUAAUUUUAGUCUCUGGAUAUAUUCCUUAGUAAAUACAUUUGUGUCAGAUGCCAGACACAUUCCACACAUUUUUCAUAGCAUUUAGAUUUUAUAUGGAGUUGAUGAGCAGAUUGACUUUAAAAUUUUGAACAUUUAUAUAGCUGUUGUACUCAGAGACAAGUAGUAAUAAAUUCAUCUAUAAAGCAUUAAGAGUGGACUUGGAUAGAAAUAAUGAUGUGUGUAAAGCAAUCAAGCAUAGUUGUAGUCUGAAUAUGUGUAGAUAAAGCUUGGAAAUGUGUCUAUAAUUGAAUCUACUGACUUUGAAGUGUAUUUGUAAGUGAACACAUUUAAAGUUUAUUAUUUUUGCUUAUCUAUGUAUGGAAUGCACCAUCUCUUUAUCUUGAAUAUUUUUUACUGAGCAGUAUGUUUAUAAACAUUUGCCAGAAAAGGAAGCCUUUAGUACACAAUGAUGAGCAUUUGUAUAAACUUUGACUGUAUUAUCCGUAGAUUGAAGCUGGAAAAAGGGCUGAAGCUGUAGCUACAGUUGUGGCAGCCGUUGAUCAGGCGCGUGUUAGAUCACCUUGGGAGACAGAGCAAGUAGAUGAAACUUACGUCAAGCAGAAAACUUUGGAAUAUGGUUAUAA